rnacentral:rRNA from 1 species
AGUCAAUAGAUACCCGGGUAGUCCACGCCGUAAACUAUGGACGCUAGCUGUUAGAAGUAUCGACCCUUCUAGUAGCGAAAGCUAAACGCGUUAAGCGUCCCGCCUGUGGAGUACGAGCGCAAGCUUAAAACGUAAAGGAAUUGACGGGGACCCGCACAAGCGGUGGAGCGUGUUGUUUAAUUCGAUGCUAAGCGAAGAACCUUACCCAGGUUUGACAUCCUACUAAUUUCUCCGAAAGGAGAGAGUGCCUUCGGGCCGUAGUGACAGGUGUUGCAUGGCCGUCGUCAGCUCGUGUCGUGAGAUGUUUGGUUAAGUCCAUCAACGAGCGCAACCCUUUUGUUUAGUUGUAUUUCUCUAAACAGACUGCCCUGGCAACAGGGAGGAAGGAGGGGAUGAUGUCAGGUCAGUAUUACCCCUUACGUCUGGGGCUACAAACACGCUACAAUGGACGGUACAAAGGGCAGG